GGAAGUUAGAUUAUAUGAAAAUGGAAAUAAAAGGAAAGGGAGGGAAGAGAUUAACCUGUGUAAUAAUUCCAAGAACUCCCAAAGAAACUUUGGCAGCGUUGAGAUGGUGUUGGUGAGGUGGAUGAAGAAGGGUGCGGAGUUUGGCGUAGCCAUCUUGGGGCCCACCGGGAGUGACGAUUUGAAUGGCCGAAACGUAAUCGUGGACUGCGCUGCCUUUGCCCCAUAAGGAGCUGCCAUGAGCCCCGGUGCUUAGGAGGCCGCCAAUGGUGAGGCCCCACCAGUAAGGCGUAUGGGGCAGAGCAAGACCAGCCGCGGCAGCGUCGUCUAUGAUCUGCCUCAGAGUGGCUCCCCCCUCCACGCUUAUGCU
rnacentral:misc_RNA from 1 species